rnacentral:rRNA from 1 species
AUUGAACGCUGGCGGCAGGCCUAACACAUGCAAGUCGAACGGUAACAGGAAGCAGCUUGCUGCUUCGCUGACGAGUGGCGGACGGGUGAGUAAUGUCUGGGAAGCUGCCUGAUGGAGGGGGAUAACUACUGGAAACGGUAGCUAAUACCGCAUAAUGUCGCAAGACCAAAGAGGGGGACCUUCGGGCCUCUUGCCAUCGGAUGUGCCCAGAUGGGAUUAGCUUGUUGGUGGGGUAACGGCUCACCAAGGCGACGAUCCCUAGCUGAUCUGAGAGGAUGACCAGCCACACUGGAACUGAGACACGGUCCAGACUCCUACGGGAGGCAGCAGUGGGGAAUAUUGCACAAUGGGCGCAAGCCUGAUGCAGCCAUGCCGCGUGUAUGAAGAAGGCCUUCGGGUUGUAAAGUACUUUCAGCGGGGAGGAAGGGAGUAAAGUUAAUACCUUUGCUCAUUGACGUUACCCGCAGAAGAAGCACCGGCUAACUCCGUG